AAGUGCAGCAGCACACUUUACCAUGAAUCAUCACACUGACCUCAAGAUUUCGCCUGCCGUUUCUAUGGUGAAUAAAUCGAUCAUUAUAAAUCAGUUCAUUAAGAAUGACUCAGGACAGAAGUGCAGUCAAUUAUUCACAGCAACAACUGUUCAAAGCAGAGACGCGUCAGAACGACGGAGAUGUUUGUUUUCCUUUCUCAAACGCAGCAGAAGACCUUGAUGAGUUGAAUAUCAGCUAACGAGAGACAGGAGGUGUACAGAUAGGACAUGCUGAUUACUCAGGUGUGUCCAACCAGGACAAAGCGAGACAGCACAGCUGCACCAUGGCCAAGGCUAUGUGUGUGUGUUUGUGUGUGUGUGUGCGUGCACAUGGCCAGCCAUGGCUGACAGAGACUGAACAGAGACACCGAGAGAGUGGGGGAGGAUCUGACACGUUAAAUCAGAUGAAAUUAGGCAUGCUGAGAAUCCAGAGUGAUCGCAAUGGAUCCUACUGUAAAUGUGAUUAUCAGGUAUAUGUCAGUGGACCAAGAUGUAUGAACAUUCAGCUUUUCUCUCUGGCAUUUUGGGCAGAGAUUUAUCUCAUCUUGUGGUGGAUUCCAAUGAAGCCAAUCCUGGGGACACUGGGCAUGAGGUGGGAAUGCAACUUGAAUGUGCCUUCAAUCUAGUACAUGACAUCACACAGACUCACACACUCAACACACCUAGGGGCAAUGUCAUUAUAGAUAAUCCACAUACCAGCAUGUUUUUGGCUGAGGAACCCAGUGAAGGAAUCCCAUGCAGACUUGAGGAGAACAUUCAAAGUUCCUCACAAGUAACCAAGGAGUUGGGAGGCAGAAAUCCUAUGCUAUGUGAUUGCCAAAAUAUAUUCUCAUUAUUGCCUUCUUACAGGUUCUAUGUGGACCAAAUUAACUACUGAAUUACUAAUAAAGACUGACGUUUAUCCAUUCAA